AUUGAACGCUGGCGGCAGGCCUAACACAUGCAAGUCGAGCGGAUGAAGGGAGCUUGCUCCUGGCUUCAGCGGCGGACGGGUGAGUAAUGCCUAGGAAUCUGCCUGGUAGUGGGGGAUAACGUCCGGAAACGGGCGCUAAUACCGCAUACGUCCUGAGGGAGAAAGUGGGGGAUCUUCGGACCUCACGCUAUCAGAUGAGCCUAGGUCGGAUUAGCUAGUUGGUGGGGUAAAGGCCUACCAAGGCGACGAUCCGUAACUGGUCUGAGAGGAUGAUCAGUCACACUGGAACUGAGACACGGGCCAGACUCCUACGGGAGGCAGCAGUGGGGAAUAUUGGACAAUGGGCGAAAGCCUGAUCCAGCCAUGCCGCGUGUGUGAAGAAGGUCUUCGGAUUGUAAAGCACUUUAAGUUGGGAGGAAGGGCAGUAAGUUAAUACCGUGCUGUUUUGACGUUACCAACAGAAUAAGCACCGGCUAACUUCGUG
rnacentral:rRNA from 1 species